UUACAUUUGAGUGAGUGGCAAACUGGUGAGUAACACGUGGGAAACCUGCCCAGAAGCGGGGGAUAACACCUGGAAACAGAUGCUAAUACCGCAUAACAACUUGGACCGCAUGGUCCGAGUUUGAAAGAUGGCUUCGGCUAUCACUUUUGGAUGGUCCCGCGGCGUAUUAGCUAGAUGGUGGGGUAACGGCUCACCAUGGCAAUGAUACGUAGCCGACCUGAGAGGGUAAUCGGCCACAUUGGGACUGAGACACGGCCCAAACUCCUACGGGAGGCAGCAGUAGGGAAUCUUCCACAAUGGACGAAAGUCUGAUGGAGCAACGCCGCGUGAGUGAAGAAGGGUUUCGGCUCGUAAAACUCUGUUGUUAAAGAAGAACAUAUCUGAGAGUAACUGUUCAGGUAUUGACGGUAUUUAACCAGAAAGCCACGGCUAACUACGUGCCAGCAGCCGCGGUAAUACGUAGGUGGCAAGCGUUGUCCGGAUUUAUUGGGCGUAAAGCGAGCGCAGGCGGUUUUUUAAGUCUGAUGUGAAAGCCUUCGGCUCAACCGAAGAAGUGCAUCGGAAACUGGGAAACUUGAGUGCAGAAGAGGACAGUGGAACUCCAUGUGUAGCGGUGAAAUGCGUAGAUAUAUGGAAGAACACCAGUGGCGAAGGCGGCUGUCUGGUCUGUAACUGACGCUGAGGCUCGAAAGUAUGGGUAGCAAACAGGAUUAGAUACCCUGGUAGUCCAUACCGUAAACGAUGAAUGCUAAGUGUUGGAGGGUUUCCGCCCUUCAGUGCUGCAGCUAACGCAUUAAGCAUUCCGCCUGGGGAGUACGGCCGCAAGGCUGAAACUCAAAGGAAUUGACGGGGGCCCGCACAAGCGGUGGAGCAUGUGGUUUAAUUCGAAGCUACGCGAAGAACCUUACCAGGUCUUGACAUACUAUGCAAAUCUAAGAGAUUAGACGUUCCCUUCGGGGACAUGGAUACAGGUGGUGCAUGGUUGUCGUCAGCUCGUGUCGUGAGAUGUUGGGUUAAGUCCCGCAACGAGCGCAACCCUUAUUAUCAGUUGCCAGCAUUAAGUUGGGCACUCUGGUGAGACUGCCGGUGACAAACCGGAGGAAGGUGGGGAUGACGUCAAAUCAUCAUGCCCCUUAUGACCUGGGCUACACACGUGCUACAAUGGAUGGUACAACGAGUUGCGAACUCGCGAGAGUAAGCUAAUCUCUUAAAGCCAUUCUCAGUUCGGAUUGUAGGCUGCAACUCGCCUACAUGAAGUCGGAAUCGCUAGUAAUCGCGGAUCAGCAUGCCGCGGUGAAUACGUUCCCGGGCCUUGUAC
rnacentral:rRNA from 2 species